rnacentral:misc_RNA from 1 species
CCCACAUCAAAGUCUCCGCUCUUUUUCGCUUUCCUUCCUUCCUUUUUUUGAGUGUUCACACUGCCUUAGGGAAAAGGUAACACAUCAGCAAAAAGGAAACCCCUCCGACUCAACACUGCCGAAGAAUUCAACCCCCUCCCCCUCCUCUUCUUCCCUUUCCACACGCACGCACCCAGGCAUACACACACACACACACACACACACACAGAGUCAUUCACACUUGACACCUCACUAAGCUUUCCUGUUCUCCGUGCCCGUCUUUUACUUCCUGUGGUGCGGCUACCUCCCCCCUACCCCUCUCUCCGCCAAAGGAAGCCAGCAGCAAAGGCUACUGGACCACGACCGGCUCACUUACCGCCGCUGCCCACCUGUACCUUUUCUGUUUUCUCUGUCACCGUGGCACACGCCUACCCGCAUCAUCUUGUCUUCUCUUUCUGUUGUAUUCACGCCAGCGAGGUUAGUCGACGUACACAACACUGUUCUCCCUUCCGCCCGUCCCCUCUCUCGUCAUAAAUCUUCGUUUCUCUCUCUGACGGUCAGCCUCUGUUGUAGAGACUCCGUUUACGUGAAGGCAAGUUUGGGAUCGCCGCGCACCGUUCUCGUUCAAAAACGAGAAAAAAAAUACUAGUCUCUCCUUUGUUUCUUCACAUAUCAACAACUUGUUGACACUUCUGACGCACAAACCUGAACACGCCCCCCCCUUUGGAAGAGCCGUGAAGAACUCACGAUGUCUCAACAGAAUGCUGUCGAGGCCCUGCUGGCGCGCCUGCAGAUGGGGGACACGAUUCCCGCCUUUCAGUCCAUGGGAGUGGACCGUAUCGUAUCUCUGCGCAAGAUGUCAGAGGAGGCCUUGCGCCAGGCCGUCCCGGACCCUGAGCAGCGCCAGGCACUGAUGGACGCUAUCGAAAGCCGUGGCCACCUGCAAUCGCGUCGCGCUGGCCCGCCGGCGGGCCAGCCGCACCCGCCUCGCAGUGCCGAUGCUGACUUUGCCCGCAGCGGCAACGACGAGGGCCGCGGUGGUUAUGCGCCGCGCGGUGACCGUGGUGGCCGCGUUGCCCGCGGUGGGCGCGGCGGUGGUCGUGGUGCCGGUGCGCCGAACGGCGACGACGCGGCUCGUGUGUGCCGCCACGUUUUCACGCCAGAGGGGUGCAAGUAUGGCGACAAGUGCCGCUAUAGCCACGACGAGAACGACCGCCGCCGAGCGCAGGAGGUACCGACGGGCAGCGGUAUGGCGCAGCGCUCUCUGGAGCGCCCGCCACCGAAUUUUAAGUUUUCGAUCGAGGUCGAGAUCCCGACAGAGCGCAUCAAGUACCUCCUGGGCUCUCAGGGCAACAAUAUGAAGUUCAUUAAUGAAACGUGCGGCACUUACAACGAGCGCUUCGACCACGUGGACGAGAAGGAGGAGACAUUCACGAUCCGCAUACUCGGCGGCAGCGAGGAGGCAGUCAACAAGGCUAAGGAUAUGCUGUUGCUGUCUGCCGGCGUUAAGCGCGAGGAGGAGAAGAAGGACCGCUUCCAGUACGCCGUGAACGAGCUGGACGCGAACACGCACGCCGCUCGCCUGUUCGCGGCCUGCAACACCAAGAACAAGGACACCACACGUCACUUGUCUGACUCCAUCAUGCGCAACAUCGUCUCCAGCUUCCACUUUGUUCGCCCGCAGGAGGUGCGUCACUUCUACAUGUACACUUCCAGUAGCGACAAGGACAAGCUCGAGAUGGUGAGCAAGAUUGUGUCCCAGCUAAAGGGCGUGCAGGCGAUUCUCUUCUGCGACCAGAAGCGUGUGGAGGAGAUGUGCAAGGGCUCACAGCGUAUCGCGCGCCACUUCAACGGUGUGGAACCGCAGUUUGUGUACCGCCAACUGUCCAAGGAGGAUCGCAUGAUGGCGCUGGAGAGGUUCAAGAAGGGUGUGGAGAACGAGAACGGCGUGCGCCAGCGUCUGCUGGUCACGAACGAGGAUUACGCCAAGCUGGCUCGCAAGACCAUCAUUCCGUACGUGAAUCUUGUCAUCAACUUCUCCGUGCCGCGUGCUGAGGAGUACUACGUCCUGCAGUCGCAGGUCGCAGGCCGUCAGGGCACUAUCGGUGCGUCAUUCCUAUGUGUUAGCAACUACGAAGAGGCCCUUUUCCGCGAGUUGGAGAAGAAUAUCCAGUUUGAGCGCUUCGAGGACGAGGAACACUUCCGCACGACGGCGGUGGAACUGUCGUACGACACGGCUGCGCAGCCUUUGACGCCGGAGGACGCUGAUCCGCCGGCGGACUGGCGCGAACACCUGAACGAUAAGAAGCCACGCCAGAACUUCGGUAAGCGUCGCUAGGCACGCGACAAGCACACACACACACACACACACACACACACACACACACGCACGCACGCACGCACGCACGAGAGCGAAAGGAAGGAGAAAGGAUCAGAGAAAAGAAGGGGACCAUCGCUGGCCUGGCAGCGACUUUCCUCGCACUGUCCUUUAUCAACACGCAUAUUACUCCUGCUCUUGCUGUGUGGCUCUUCGUAAUGAUGCGGUGCCUCUUCAGGUGACACUCGAAACGCGUAAAAGCAACGGCAUGACGGACAUUUUUGUUCUCCCUCGUCGUCAUUUUCUUUCGUUUCACCCCUCCCGUUGUUUCUUAUAUAUAAGGGAGCGUAUGCGUGUGAGUCUCUGUAUGUGCGUGCGUGCUUGUGUGUGUGUAUGGGGCUGCUCUGGUCGCGUUCUGAUUAGUGUGCGUCUUUUAUGUCGAAGCUGUCUCAGGGGUGCAGAGGGUGGCGUGCGACACGGGCGAGGGGAUGGGGGCGGCGUGGGAUGGAUGAGUGAGUGGGCUGGAAAAGAGGCGGCGUAUCGAAGAGGGUGAGAUGAAGAAGAGUGAACAUGCGGAGAGGGCAGCGAAAACAAAGAAUCAGCUGAACUCUGCGUGAUGGCGACGGUGCCUCCUUCAGUUUCUCCACCGUCUCUCCCCUUUUCUUCUGGUCUCAUUCCUCACCUCCCCGCUCUAUCUUUGUAGCGCAGCAAGCCUUUGUGAGGCGUGACUCACAGGAUAGAGCUAGGUGCUGCUAACCCUCCCCCGCUCCACCACCACCACCAUAAUCAUGUCUCUCUCCCAUCGCCCCUCGUCGCCUGCUCCUCCCUCCCCUCAGAUGCACACCCGCAUCCACACGCCAGGCCCCCGCCCGCCCUCCAUCCCCUCCGUCUCCUUCCGUUUGUCUGUUCUUUCGUUCUGUUUCCUCGCUUGUCGUCUUGCUCUUCUUCUGCCUCUCACGUCUUUGGGUCUCCGGCGUCUCUGUCUUGUUUUUUCUCCUCCCCCUCUCCUUUUCUUGUUUCACGUGGUAUGUGUCCGUGACCAUGUUUCCUUUGUUUUCUUGUCUGUCUGUCUGUUGGUUGGUCGGUGUGUGUGCGUGUGGGUGGGUGUUUGUUUUUAAACGGCGUGCCCACCUCUCUCUCUGUUUUUGUGCUGUUUUGCGUCUCUGUGUUUUUCUGCAAUGCGGUACGUGGUGGGUGCCGAAAAGUAUACGAAGGCCAGACGAUGUGUUUCGGAUGGUGGCGAUGAGGUUUGUGAACGCACACAACUAAAAAAAAAAACACAUGCACACACAAGGCAAUGAGGCAAAGGCCGAAGGAAUGACUAAGGACCAAAGUUGGAUAUUGGUGGUGCUGAUGCGUGGGAUGCGCUGUCUUUUUUUUGUUGUUGUUUGUUUUUCUUCUGUCUUUUUAUGCCAAGGACGACAAGGUGCUCGCGAAUGGUGUGGUGUAGACGAGGGUGCGCUUACAUGUGCGCGUGUGUGCGUAGGUGGAGUAUUCUCUUAUACAGGAGUGCGUCUCGAUGUGUGGGUAAGUAUCUGGGUAGGUCUCCUCGUUGUAGUGAGAGGGUAGGUGAGGGAUGAGACAUUCAAAAGCGGAGGUGAUGGGGGUGGAUGUGGGGGUUAAUGCAGGGAGGAGUGACCCACCCACAACAGUGAAGCACCAACGGAGAGCACAGGCUAGGAAGGCGGCGAGAGCUAAGGAGCGAGGCUUGCCGUAGAGGGGCAGCUCAAUAUUCCUCCAUCACCAUUUCACCACCACAUCGCCGCCCAGGAGGGGUGACUAUGCCGGCAGCAGAACAGCAGCACAUGUACCAUUCGUCGCAAUCACGAUACAUAUGUGCAUCUGUGAGAACGACGUGGCUGCCGCCGGUGUUGGUGCUCGUCUCAUUCUCUGCUUGUGCAUCGAUGUGGUUUUGAACUCCCUCUUUUCCCCUCCCCGCAUGCCUCUCUUCUUGCUCUUUUUCUGCCAUCUACCAUUUGUGUGUGCGUGUGCGUAAUCGCUUCACAUUGUCGGAUGGCUCUGUUCUCCUCUUUUUGUGGUGGUUCAUCGUCGUCUCGAUCUUUUUAG